ACUGAAUGCUGGCGGCAUGCUUUCCACAUGCAAGUCGAACGAGGUUACGGCGCUUGCUCCAUAACCUAGUGGCGAACGGGUGAGUAAUGCAUCGGAAUGUACCGUGUAGGGGGGGAUAACGUACCGAAAGGUACGCUAAUACCCCAGACGUCCUACGGGGGAAAGCGGGGGCGCGUAAGCCCUCGCGCUAUACGCGCAGCCGAGGCCCGAUUAGCUAGUCGGUGGGGUAAAGGCCUACCAAGGCGACGCUCGGUAGCAGGUCUGGGAGGAUGAGCUGCCACACUGGGACUGAGACACGGCCCAGACUCCUACGGGAGGCAGCAGUGGGGAAUUUUGGACAAUGGGCGAAAGCCUGAUCCAGCCAUGCCGCGUGUGUGAUGAAGGCCUUCGGGUUGUAAAGCUCUUGUGUUUGGGAGCAAACUGGCGUUGCUAAUAUCAACGUCACUGAGAGUACCAAAAGAAUAAGCACCGGCUAACUACGUGCCAGCCGCCGCGGUAA
rnacentral:rRNA from 1 species